rnacentral:rRNA from 1 species
GACGAACGCUGGCAGCGUGCUUAACACAUGCAAGUCGAACGGAAAGGCCCUGCUUUUGUGGGGUGCUCGAGUGGCGAACGGGUGAGUAACACGUGAGUAACCUGCCCUUGACUUUGGGAUAACUUCAGGAAACUGGGGCUAAUACCGGAUAGGAGCUCCUGCUGCAUGGUGGGGGUUGGAAAGUUUCGGCGGUUGGGGAUGGACUCGCGGCUUAUCAGCUUGUUGGUGGGGUAGUGGCUUACCAAGGCUUUGACGGGUAGCCGGCCUGAGAGGGUGACCGGACACAUGGGGGCGGCGCGGCGCGCAGGGCUCCUGCGGGAGGCUGGAGUGGGGGAUAUGGCGCAGGGGGCGGGAGCCGACUCCAGCGGCGCGGCGGGGGGGGUGGCGGCCUUGGGGUUGUAGUCCGUGUUCGCCUGUGGCGAGGGGGGGGGGGGGGUAAUGGGUAAAAAAGCAAGGGCAAACGACGUGCCAGCGGCCGCGGUAAUAGGCGGAGGAGCCACCGUCGGAAC